rnacentral:rRNA from 1 species
UGGGGAAUAUUGCACAAUGGGCGCAAUCCUGAUGCAGCCAUGCCGCGUGUAUGAAGAAGGCCUUCGGGUUGUAAAGUACUUUCAGCGAGGAGGAAGGCGGUAAGGUUAAUAACCUUAUCGAUUGACGUUACUCGCAGAAGAAGCACCGGCUAACUCCGUGCCAGCAGCCGCGGUAAUACGGAGGGUGCAAGCGUUAAUCGGAAUUACUGGGCGUAAAGCGCACGCAGGCGGUCUGUCAAGUCGGAUGUGAAAUCCCCGGGCUCAACCUGGGAACUGCAUUCGAAACUGGCAGGCUAGAGUCUUGUAGAGGGGGGUAGAAUUCCAGGUGUAGCGGUGAAAUGCGUAGAGAUCUGGAGGAAUACCGGUGGCGAAGGCGGCCCCCUGGACAAAGACUGACGCUCAGGUGCGAAAGCGUGGGGAGCAAACA